GACGAACGCUGGCGGCGUGCUUAACGCAUGCAAGUCGAACGGAAAGGCCCUGCUUUUGUGGGGUGCUCGAGUGGCGAACGGGUGAGUAACACGUGAGUAACCUGCCCUUGACUUUGGGAUAACUUCAGGAAACUGGGGAUAAUACCGGAUAGGAGCUCCUGCUGCAUGGUGGGGGUUGGAAAGUUUCGGCGGUUGGGGAUGGACUCGCGGCUUAUCAGCUUGUGGGUGGGGUAGUGGCUUACCAAGGCUUUGACGGGUAGCCGGCCUGAGAGGGUGACCGGCCACAUUGGUACUGAGAUACGGCCCAGACUCCUACUGUAGGCAGCAGUGGGGAAUAUUGCACAGUGGGCGGAAGCCUGAGACAGCGACGCCGCGUGCGGGAUGACGGCCUUCGGGUUGUAAACCGCUUUCGCCUGUGACGAAGCGUUAGUGACGGUAAUGGGUAAAUAAGCACCGGCUAACUACGUG
rnacentral:rRNA from 1 species